CAGAAAGUAGUUUAAUAAAAAAAUAUUAGUUUUGGGAAUUGAUGAUGGGGUAGAUUCCUUCUUUCUGA
rnacentral:tRNA from 1 species